CAUAUAUACAACUGGUUGAAAUAUCGACAGUUAGAUAAAACAAACAAAUCGUGGUAUGUAUCCGUUAUUUUUAAUAUAAAAUAUUGUUAAACCACGAAAUAAG